rnacentral:tRNA from 1 species
GGGGCUGUAGCUCAGUGGUGGAGCAUUUGCUUAGCAUGUGUGAAGUCCUGGAUUGGAUACCCAGCACCCCUG